AAUGCUAACAGCAGGUGGCGGUCCGCUAGCCAAUGGCGGCGCCCAGGGGUGCUUCAAAAAAAAAUGAAACCCUGCCCCCCUGGGUAAACUGCAUAGCCCUGCAUAAACUUUAUUUGUAUAAAACCAGGGCCUAUCAGAAAAAGCAUACCCCUGUAUAAAUAAACUGUAUUUUUAUUAAACCAGGAGCUAUCAAAACAGCAUACCCCUUUAUAAACUGUAUUUUUAUUAAACCAGGGCCUAUCAAAAAAGCAUACCCCUGUAUAACUAUUUUUAAUACAGACAAAGUAGGCUAAAUUGACAGACUACGCUAUAAAACUCAACUUCCGGUAUAUUCUGAAAAAUAUGUUACAUCGACAGAACACCGUCUCUCGUGCACACGCACGCAGCAGCAAUCAGAGCCGUACGAAAGACUACUUUGUAUUGUUCUUUGAUUGUUGCUGGGUCUGACUCCGAGUCCGCAAGUAGCCUAUCCCAGAAAGCCUCAGUGACGUCUACUUCCUCCGGGCACCGCAGCGAAUGACAGCGACGGGGGAAGCCACUGGCAGCACGUUCAAAAUGUUCUUUAUUGUCAUUGUUAUAAGUAACAACGAGAUCACAUCAGACCAUCACGUGCCAUCUCUGAGCCAUACUCUAUUCUCCCUGAUUGUGUUUUAGUAUUCUAGCGGAAUAUAUUGUUUAAAUUAAACUUUUAUGAACUAAUUUGCAAAUGUUUGUACAAAGUGUAAUCUAUUAAUAUUAUCUAUAAAUAAUACUGUACUAAUAAUACUAUACUGUACCACUUAAUAAGAAGUGACAUUGUGUUUAUUUAAAACUGUAAGAUUUGUCUUGUUUUUUUUUUUUUUUUUUUUUAGGCCUUAAUCUGGCCAUUUAUUCUAAAGUCUAAACAUGGU